rnacentral:rRNA from 1 species
AACGAACGCUGGCGGCAGGCUUAACACAUGCAAGUCGAACGCCCCGCAAGGGGAGUGGCAGACGGGUGAGUAACGCGUGGGAACAUACCCUUUUCUACGGAAUAGCUCUGGGAAACUGGAAUUAAUACCGUAUACGCCCUACGGGGGAAAGAUUUAUCGGGGAUGGAUUGGCCCGCGUUGGAUUAGCUAGUUGGUGGGGUAAAGGCCUACCAAGGCGACGAUCCAUAGCUGGUCUGAGAGGAUGAUCAGCCACAUUGGGACUGAGACACGGCCCAAACUCCUACGGGAGGCAGCAGUGGGGAAUAGUGGACAAUGGGCGCAAGCCUGAUCCAGCCAUGCCGCGUGAGUGAUGAAGGCCUUAGGGUUGUAAAGCUCUUUCACCGAUGAAGAUAAUGACGGUAGUCGGAGAAGAAGCCCCGGCUAACUUCGUG